GACUAAGCGUACACGGUGGAUGCCCUGGCAGUCAGAGGCGAUGAAGGGCGUACUAAUCUGCGAUAAGCGCCGGUAAGGUGAUAUGAACCGUUAUAACCGGCGAUACCCGAAUGGGGAAACCCAGUGUGAUUCGUCACACUAUCAUUAACUGAAUCCAUAGGUUAAUGAGGCGAACCGGGGGAACUGAAACAUCUAAGUACCCCGAGGAAAAGAAAUCAACCGAGAUUCCCCCAGUAGCGGCGAGCGAACGGGGAGGAGCCCAGAGCCUGAAUCAGCAUGUGUGUUAGUGGAAGCGUCUGGAAAGGCGCGCGAUACAGGGUGACAGCCCCGUACACAAAAGCGCAUGUGCUGUGAGCUCGAUGAGUAGGGCGGGACACGUGGUAUCCUGUCUGAAUAUGGGGGGACCAUCCUCCAAGGCUAAAUACUCCUGACUGACCGAUAGUGAACCAGUACCGUGAGGGAAAGGCGAAAAGAACCCCGGCGAGGGGAGUGAAAAAGAACCUGAAACCGU
rnacentral:rRNA from 1 species